ensembl:rRNA 5S_rRNA 5S ribosomal RNA
GUCUACGGCCAUACCACCCUCAACGUGCCCAAUCUUGGAAGCUAAGCAGGGUCGGGCCUGUUUAGUACUUGGAUAGGAGAACUCUCCACCCAGCUCCUCAGCACUGGGGGCUAGUGGCU